rnacentral:lncRNA from 7 species
GGAUCUUGCUGGAGAUCCCUGCAUACGUGAGGUCUUCCAAAGCCACAACACAGCUGGAAGUGGAGAUGACAUUACCACAGUCCCCCUUAUCCCAAGGAAGAAGAGCUUUUUAGGUCUACCCCUCAGGCACAAAGCAGGAUGGCAACACAUUUUAGGCAGAAGCUGAGUCCUUGGGGGGCUGUGCAAGAGACUCACAUUAUUACACAUAUUGACUGCGGGCAGAGAUCAAUGUGGCUGCUUAAAUCACCUCUAAGCCAGAUUUGUUCUUCUGUGUGUGGCACAGGCAUGCUCUAAAUAACAAGAUGCCUACAGCUGCGUGGAACAAAACUCCCCAGUGAGCACACAGGUUGUAAAGCAGGAGCAAAAUGUCUUUACAGCUCUUGUCAGCAUCACUUGGAGGUAUCCCUUUCGCACCGGUCUCUGCGGGGCUGGAGCAAUUAAAUGGAGGCAGUGCUUCCCAGCUGCCAGCACUGUGCUGCAGGAGCAGGGCAGCAUCUGCACUAUGUCACAUAGCUCUGCUGUUGGCACUGUCUCUUUGGUGAGUGCUUUGUGUUACAUCAUCCUCAUCGGGGCAACUGUCACCCUUAAAAAGUUUGUUCCGAAGAUGUUCCUUUAGGCACCGUUGGGCCCGGUGCAAAUAAGCAGCAAAAGCUCCACGUUAUGUAAAUCCCACUUCAAAGGCCUCAGCACCCAGGCUGUGCAGGAGAGCUGUGCAUAGGCAUGCACUCCUUCCCAGAGCAGCAUGCAUGCCACAACAGAGGCACCCACCAGAUCUGUAUGUACUGUGGGCUCAGCCAGACAUAUGGUUGAAUCCCAAAUGCCAUCAGCUCUCCAAAUAGAAUCCAGGACAAGGCAGCGAAGUCUAUAGCAUAUUCUUAUGGUGCCUCUUUUAGCUGAAGAGAGCCAGCCCAUGCAUGUUGCUGUGACUCAUGGUAUCUGAAUCACUUCAAAACGCUGCGCUGAACCUACAGAAGAAAUAAACUGGCAGCUUUGUAGACAAUGAGGCUGUGUUAGAUCUCCUGUCUCAAUGCAAAGCCUGACCUUCUGCCUCCUUCCACCCCGAUCUCUCAUCUGCUUAAAAAUUCAAGGCAGAAAUGCGAAGAGGAGGUAAAAUAUUCCUUACGUGGACAACAUCAAAAGGAUGACCAGGAAAAUAUGAAGUUGCUGCCAAGAGGCCGUGCUGCAGCAUAGCGGAGCCCUGUGCCAACGGUGCAGUUAUCUGAUACGGUAAUUUCAGUUAAUGCACUGUUAGGCACGAGCAGUAGGAAAACAUGCAGCUGUAUUUAAACACCCACCCACCAAUGGAACAAAAAUACGCCUUUCUCGAGGUGUCCAUCAGCCCUGAGCCGCCGCUCGAUUUGCAAUUCAAAGCUCACCAUCUGAGCCAUGUGGGAAUGCUGCAAUAGGCCAUGUGCCUUGUUAAGCAUCUCUGCUUUCUGGAUGGUUACUCUGUGCAGCAGGAGUGCCACGAGGGUG